GAUGAACGCUAGCGGCAGGCCUAAUACAUGCAAGUCGAACGAGAUUGUUGUAGCAAUAUGACAUGAAAGUGGCGCACGGGUGCGUAACACGUAUGCAAUCUACCUCUAAUUGGAGAAUAGCCUCGAGAAAUCGGGAUUAAUACUCCAUAACAUUAUUGAGUGGCAUCAUUUGAUAAUCAAACUUCCGGGGACUAGAGAUGAGCAUGCGCAACAUUAGCUAGUUGGUAAGGUAAUGGCUUACCAAGGCUACGAUGUUUAGGGGGUCUGAGAGGAUAAUCCCCCACACUGGUACUGGGACACGGACCAGACUCCUACGGGAGGCAGCAGUAGGGAAUAUUGGGCAAUGGAGGAAACUUUGACCCAGCCAUGCCGCGUGCAGGAUGACGGCCCUCUGGGUUGUAAACUGCUUUUAUACGGGAAGAAAAAAUACUACGUGUAGUAUACUGACGGUACCGUAAGAAUAAGGAUCGGCUAACUCCGUGCCAGCAGCCGCUGUAAUAC
rnacentral:rRNA from 1 species